AGGUCUCCAUUUUCCGUCUGUAACCGAGUGAAAGCUUUUUGAGCAGAUAGACGCCUUUUUCUCCAAGUCAAGAGUCGCAGUAGACUGAAUAUUCCCUCUCCAAUGAAACACGGACUUUCGGAACGGGAACUUCAUCCCUAUUGGAUGUUUUCUUUUUCCCAUCCAGUGAAACACGGACGUCAUGUGCUAAAAGACGUGUCUGUUCGUUUCAACACCUCUUCUUCUUCCGGCGUCUCCCAUUAGGGGUCGCCACAGCGGAUCAUCCGUCUUCAUACCUCCUGUCCUCUACAUCUGCCUCUUUCACACCAACUACAUGUUCGUUUCAACACUACUGAGGCAAUACUUACUACACCAGUGUACAUAUAUAAAACCUCAUAUAAAAAUUUGCUACGACCUGAAAGUGCAGUACAUUGUGAAAAAUACAAAAUAAAUUAUUAAAUAAAAAAAAUCCAAAUUAAUGUAAAAUGAUGUUAGAGAUUCUGUUUAGAAUUUGUUGAUGUGACUUACAGUGGCAGGCCAUGCAUUUGGUACCUGGGCUUCAGUGAGGACUUGCAUGACUUAAUUCACCUCUUAAUACCACCACUAUCACAUCGCAAUUAUAGAAACCAUCAAUACAAUACAACAACACAUGGCUUUACAGAGAGAGAGGCAUUUCACAUAUGGAGGUUUUUCUGUUAUGUAGCUUUAUGUUAGAUGUAGCACCAAGGUUCUGUAGGAACAUUGUCUCAUUUCACUGUGUACUGCAUCAGUAUAUAUAUAUAUGGUUGAAAUGACAAUAAAAGCUACUUGACUUGA